CCUAUUUCCCUUGUCUCUCAUCAAACCUAACCCUAGCCACCUUUAAAUCCACCACGACUGCCGCCGACUGCCACCUAUCAAAUAUUGCCCCACGGCGAUAGCGACGCUCUAUAUCCUUCCACAUUAACACCAGACAACCACCAUAUUCUCCUCUUUUUAUAUCUCGUAACCAUUCCCUUCAAACAAACCCAGAAAUCCCCAAUUUUUUUAUCUUAAGUCAAAACCCUAGUUUUGUCCCGUUUCUAAUUUUCCGUCCAAUUUCGGUACAUUAGUCAAGACCUACAUCAAUCGAUUGCUCUUGAUGAGAGCAAUCCACUGAUGUUAGUCUCAUUUCAUUUUACCCCAUGAGGAAUUGUCCGAGUUUGCGACUGUCUCGUUUAAAUCAAGCUAUGCAAUUUCUUUUUCCGCUUUCUUUUGUUUUUUCUUUCAUAAUCAUUUUCUUUUCUGCUUAGCUUGCAUGGUUUAGGCUUAAUUACAAUAUUUUAUUUGUUGUUGUUUUUUGUUUCUUUUGUGUAUGCUAAUAAGAAUCAUC
rnacentral:lncRNA from 1 species